UCAAGGUGUUGAUGUAGAGGACUUCUUCCUUGUCCAAGGCCUAGGGGUUUUAGGUUGUUUUUCUGAGGAUCUGAAGUAAAGGGGAUUUUGUGGUCAGAUACAGUCCUACACACCAUGAAAAUAUGGCCCAUCAUUUUGACCAAAGCUGGGGUUACAAAAAUACCCAGUUCUGUAAGUACCAUGCAAAGCACUAUCCAGCUGGAGUGAGUACUACUGGUGCACAGAAAGAGGCUGAAGCACAAGCCCUCAUUAGUGUUUGACAGAGGGAAAAGGAAUUACAAGUAUCUUAACCACAGGGAAAGCUUUGAUCGACAAGAACACUCGUCAGCCAAGAGGAUGUUCAGCCAUGAAGCACUGAGCCCAGGAAACAAGGCUGAUACUUUCUCCUGCCCACAGAGCUGCUUGGUUUUGAUGAAGAGUGAAAGAUGAUAAAGCGAAAAAUGUCUGUGUAAUCAAGAAAUCACCCUUUUCUUGAUGACAUCUGUGUUGCAGAAAAUCAGAUCCCACGUGUAGGAGUGGGAGUAGACUCUGCUUCCUUUGGUUUUUGCUUUCUUUUGAGCUGAAAAAGGAAAAAUACUGAAACGUUUGAAUGUCUCAACAUUUUCCCCAAAGUUAAGCCACAGAGAUGAACAAACUUUCCAAAUUCAACCCAUUCUUCCCCUUACAUGCCCUGACAAUGAGGUGAACACUAAACCAGAUGAAUGAGCAGUAGGAGCACAGAGGCUGCCUGCCCCAGGCUGCCCUUUUGAAGGACCACUUGAAGAUAGCAGAGUGCUGGCCAGGUAAUUAUUUCAAAGCACGAACCAAGCUCUGCAGUCCUUGGAUGAGGUACAGCACCAGAGCCCUGACCUCAUUUACAGGGCCUGCAUUUAGGAAAUGCCAAGCGAUUAUGCAGAGAGCUUUCCUGUGUGUAAUCAUAUGAGGCAGGAGGCAUGAAGUCACUGUCCUGAAACCCAAGGUGAAAUCAGACUGACCUUGAAAGUCUCAGGCAGGCCUAGGGCUGCCUUUUGUACUGCUGUAAGAAGAAAAACUGAUCCUGCCUAACUUAUUGGGCUGUUUUCUGGCUUUGUCCUUUUGGGAAAGUUGGCAUUUUGAUUCCACUCAGACAGUUUUCUGGGCUUCAGCAUUAGAAGAAUUAAAGUCAAGCACUAGUUA